rnacentral:rRNA from 1 species
UACGUAGGGUGCGAGCGUUGUCCGGAAUUAUUGGGCGUAAAGAGCUCGUAGGCGGUCAGUCGCGUCUGCUGUGAAAACUCGGGGCUUAACCCCGGGCCUGCAGUGGGGUACGGGCUGACUAGAGUGCGGUAGGGGAGACUGGAAUUCCUGGUGUAGCGGUGAAAUGCGCAGAUAUCAGGAGGAACACCGGUGGCGAAGGCGGCAUUCUGGACCGACAUUGACGCUGAGGAGCGAAAGCCAGGGGAGCAAACGGGG